AACGAACGCUGGCGGCCUGCCUAACACAUUCACGUCGAACGAGAUCUUCGGGUCUAGUGGCGCACGGGUGCGUAACGCGUGGGAAUCUGACCUUUGGUUCGGAAUAACAGAUGGAAACGACUGCUAUUACCGGAAGAUGACGAAAGACCAAAGAUUUAUCGUCAGUGGAGGAGCCAGCGUAGGAUUAGCUAGUUGGUUGGGGAAAGGCCCACCAAGGCGACGAUCCUUAGCUGGUCUGUGAGGAUGAGCAGCCACACUGAGACUGAGACACGUCCCAGAGUCCUACGGGAGGCAGCGGUGGGGACUAUUGGACAAUGGGCGAAAGCCUGAUCCAGCAAGGCCGCGUGAGUAAUGAAGGCCUUAGGGUUGUAAAGCUCUUUUACCCGGGAUGAUAAUGACAGUACCGGGAGAAUAAGCUCCGGCUAACUCCGUGCCAGCCGCCGCAGUAA
rnacentral:rRNA from 1 species